rnacentral:rRNA from 2 species
UGGCUCAUUAUAUAAGUUAUCGUUUAUUUGAUAGUACCUUACUACUUGGAUAACCGUGGUAAUUCUAGAGCUAAUACAUGCUGAAAAUCCCGACUUCGGAAGGGAUGUAUUUAUUAGAUUAAAAACCAAUGCCCUCUGGGCUCCUUGGUGAUUCAUAAUAACUUUUCGAAUCGCACGGCCUUGCGCCGGCGAUGGUUCAUUCAAAUUUCUUCCCUAUCAACUUUCGAUGUUUGGGUAUUGGCCAAACAUGGUCGCAACGGGUAACGGAGGGUUAGGGCUCGACCCCGGAGAAGGAGCCUGAGAAACGGCUACUACAUCCAAGGAAGGCAGCAGGCGCGCAAAUUACCCAAUCCCGAUUCGGGGAGGUAGUGACAAUAAAUACUGAUACAGGGCUCUUUUGGGUCUUGUAAUUGGAAUGAGUACAAUUUAAAUCUCUUAACGAGGAACAAUUGGAGGGCAAGUCUGGUGCCAGCAGCCGCGGUAAUUCCAGCUCCAAUAGCGUAUAUUAAAGUUGUUGUGGUUAAAAAGCUCGUAGUUGAACCUUGGGCCUGGCUGGCCGGUCCGCCUCACCGCGUGUACUGGUCCGGCCGGGCCUUUCCCUCUGUGGAACCUCAUGCCCUUCACUGGGUGUGGCGGGGAAACAGGACUUUUACUUUGAAAAAAUUAGAGUGCUCCAGGCAGGCCUAUGCUCGAAUACAUUAGCAUGGAAUAAUAAAAUAGGACGUGUGGUUCUAUUUUGUUGGUUUCUAGGACCGCCGUAAUGAUUAAUAGGGACAGUCGGGGGCAUCAGUAUUCAAUUGUCAGAGGUGAAAUUCUUGGAUUUAUUGAAGACUAACUACUGCGAAAGCAUUUGCCAAGGAUGUUUUCAUUAAUCAGGAACGAAAGUUAGGGGAUCGAAGACGAUCAGAUACCGUCGUAGUCUUAACCAUAAACUAUGCCGACUAGGGAUCGGACGAUGUUAUUUUUUUGACGCGUUCGGCACCUUACGAGAAAUCAAAGUGCUUGG